rnacentral:misc_RNA from 1 species
CGACGGAUAUCUCGCGGGAUUUGCACGCGUGUCCGGCAACAGUGCCAAGCGGCCGGCUGUGAAAUCAAACCGGCUCAAUGCGGCCGCUGGCAACUGAUCGCUGAAUGGCUUCGAACGUGCGAACGUUCAUCAGCAUUUCCUCAUGCGUGACGGGAUAUGGGCGUUCGCCCAGCGCGGCCCGUCCAAAAGCUUCCAGAUUGUCGCGUACCGCGGGAUGAGGCUGAUAAUAAGCGGUUU